rnacentral:lncRNA from 1 species
CCAUCGAGCUUAGAAUUAUAAGGAGACGCCGUUUUGAUAUUGACGUAUCUAUAGUUAUAUAAAUAUGAAACAAACUAUGCAACAUAGUUCUGUCUCACUCUUUCUAAGCAGAUAAGUGUAUUUGAAAACAGGGACAACAAUAUUUUUGUGAUUGCGUAAAAUGGUGACAUUUACUUUUGAAAUCCUUCUGCGUGCCAUAUCUGGCCAUAUAUGUCAUGGUAGUUGUGCUGUCAAAUAGGUGCUCUUCGUGACUUAUUUUUGCUAUUUUAUAGAAUAUCACUCGUGUUUACUUUUAAGACUUUACUAUUUCAAUAGUGAAAUAAUCAACGAAUAUGCCUAUGUGUUGUAUUGUGAAGUGUGGUGCUAGGAAGCACCAAAAUCAAGCUGGAUUGUCUUUACACAGUGCUUCCGCACAGACGAGCAAAUCGGAAUGCAAGUUGCAAUAUUUGCUUGAGAACUUAGUUACCGAGUAU